GGAGAUGUUGGUGGAUGCCACACUAAUGCUUCCCCACACUCAUGAUCUCCUUUGAGAUCUGUUAGACAACUGCAUCCCCUCCCCCUUCAAGACUGACUUCAACUCUCGGUCUGGACUUUUUCAGGGGAUCCUAGAAUGUCUCAGUCUAACUGGACACAACUAAAGAUCUACUUUGGGAUUCAUAGGUGCCAGAUACCAAGAAUUCUUACCAUUCCACUAGGUGUCUUUGAUAUAGCUAGACCUUGAUCCCUUUUCAACCUCUGUAAUGCAUAUUCAAAUUUUGGACCUCUCUAUAUGACCAAAGAACAUUUUCUGCUCUGCUUUUCCAGCAGCCUUGGUUUCUUUUGACAGAUCUUCUAUAGGUAGGAACACUUAGGUCAAUAAACUAUUACGUAAAAAAAAA